UAGAACCCAGACCCCAUCGUGACUUCAUAAUGACAUCACUGAGCCUGGCUCUGAAUAAGUGACAAGUAGAAGACCAUUCUGCAUGACCCCUGCAGCAGUCUGAGAGUCUGCCCUGUAGCAACUUCCUUUGAAUUGAAGCAUUUCACGCUAGAGGGAAGCCUAAGAAAACCCAGAAAGUUCUACAAGAAGGAUCACAAGCAACUUCAAAUGUUCAGGAAGUCCUUUCCUUCCCCAAGGCUAUAAAAGCAGUAAGGAGAGCUGCAGAGCCUCUCUGACUUUGGAGCUAUCUGGAAGAUAUGCUGUGAACCCCAGGCUUCCAGAUGUCAUGAGCUGUCAGUCAUGCAGGGGUAGGCUUCAGUGAUGCUGUCUUUGAGUCACUUCUGUGACUCGUAAGUAACUCCUCAUUCACAAUCCUUUAAGCAACCCCAAUAAACUCCUUGAUUCACC
rnacentral:lncRNA from 1 species